rnacentral:lncRNA from 1 species
UGUACAUAUAUGUCUACAGCUUCUCAGAUUUGACCGAAGACAAUUGUUCGGUGUUGUGAAUAGAUGUUGUUCGGCCGCAGGCCUUCCAGUCACACCGAAGAUCCUGGUUCGAUCACACGAAGGGUCACUUCCAUUGAUAUUAGUCACCGGAAAAAUUAGGAGCACCAGUUGUAGUUUCUCAG